rnacentral:rRNA from 1 species
AUACGGAGGGUGCAAGCGUUAUUCGGAAUCACUGGGCGUAAAGGACGCGUAGGCGGGUUGGCAAGUCAGAUGUGAAAUCCUACAGCUUAACUGUGGAACUGCAUUUGAAACUGCUAACCUAGAGUAUGGGAGGGGGAGAUGGAAUUAGUGGUGUAGGGGUAAAAUCCGUAGAUAUCACUAGGAAUACCGAAAGCGAAGGCGAUCUCCUGGAACAUAACUGACGCUAAGGCGUGAAAGCGUGGGGAGCAAACAGGAUUAGAUACCCUAGUAGUCC